rnacentral:tRNA from 1 species
GGAUCGAUAGCUCAAUGGGAGAGCACGACGCUGAAGCCGUCGCGUGCCUCGGUUCGAAUCCGAGUCGAUCCA